UACGUAGGCAGCGAGCGUUGUUCGGAGUUACUGGGCGUAAAGGGUGUGUAGGCGGUUUUCUAAGUUUGGUGUGAAAUCUCCCGGCUCAACCGGGAGGGUGCGCCGAAAACUGGGAGACUAGAGUGCGGGAUGGGAGAGUAGAAUUCCUGGUGUAGCGGUGAAAUGCGUAGAUAUCAGGAGGAACACCGGUGGCGAAGGCGGGUCUCUGGGCCGAUACUGACGCUGAGGAGCGAAAGCGUGGGGAGCAAACAGG
rnacentral:rRNA from 1 species